rnacentral:rRNA from 1 species
AUACGAAGGGUGCAAGCGUUAAUCGGAAUUACUGGGCGUAAAGCGCGCGUAGGUGGUUUUGUAAGUUGGAGGUGAAAGCCCCGGGCUCAACCUGGGAAUUGCCUCCAAAACUGCAUGACUAGAGUACGGUAGAGGGUAGUGGAAUUUCCUGUGUAGCGGUGAAAUGCGUAGAAAUAGGAAGGAACACCAGUGGCGAAGGCGCCUACCUGGACUGAUACGGCCACUGAGGUGCGAAAGCGUGGGGGCCAAACAGGAUAAAAUCCCCGGGGUGUCCACGCCGUAAACGAUGUCAACUAGCCGUUGGGAUCCUUGAGAUCUUAGUGGCGCAGCUAACGCAUUAAGUUGACCGCCUGGGGAGUACGGCCGCAAGGUUAAAACUCAAAUGAAUUGACGGGG